AAAGAAAGAGAGAGAGUGCGCGCCAGCCAGCGGGUCCUGCGCGCCUCGGGGUGGCUCGCCUUUUUUUGGAAGCCGGGUCGCCAGCCGCCCUCUCCCUCCCCCUCUCGCCUCAGCGGCAGCCCUUGUUGCCUCGAGCGGGCGACCUCAUCAUGCCGAAGGAGGCGGGCGAAGCGGGGACUCCCCCGGGACCGCUACUCCUGCUCCUGCUCCUUUCCUCCGCCGUGCGAGGCAGAAGCAGGCAUGCCAGUAUUUGCCAUUUGUGCCUUGAAGCUUAUAGGCAGUCAGCUAAGCAUCGAGCAUUUACCAACAUUAACCUGUUGAAUGAACACUACAAUUACACUGAACAAGUUAAGAGAGAGGGGAGAAUACAGAACUGCCUACCUUCCCUGCAACAGGCGGGCUACACUCUGUAUUAGAAGACACAGUAUCACCAGCUUUCAGUGCCACUGUUAUCAUCAUCAUCACCGUCAUAAUCUCCGGAAGUGCUUACCUGUGUUUCUUGAAAUAUAUCUGCACCGGGUGCUGUAAAUCUACUCAGGUGGUACCUGUCAGAAGACUGGAUCAGAGCAGAUCAGAAGAGCAAGUGUAAUGGUGUUAUCAUUCAAUGAUCUGUGGCCCAGCCUGGGAGAAUUCAUGCUGGUAAAUGAAAGAGACAGAAAAGGCCAUCCUUCUCCAGAGAUUUCAGAAAGAAUGUUUGGACACUUAUGGGAAAGGAGUGAAUCUUUCUAGAGAAUCGACUUGGUCAGAAGAUGUGUGGAACUUUCUGACAUAAAGUUAUUUGUGUAUAGACUAACUAACUAACUAAUUUCUUUCUUUGUUUAUUUAUUUAUUGUUUUUAUUUAUUUGUAUUUGUUUGUAUUCCACCCAUAUUGACAAUGAUGGACUAGCCCUUUUUUUUUGAAUGGGACAUUGAUGAGUCACCGCUUCCUGGAGGACUCCAAAUCAGACUUCUGGUAUCAGGAAGCUCAAUUCUGGGGCUUUAAUCAAGCAAUCAAAAUGCUGACAGGUGUUUUCAUGUUCUAACAGCUGGUGAUUUCAAGUUCUGGCCACCAUUUUCAUCCUGUAGAGAAAACAAAGGAAAUGGGUGAGUGGAACUAAGUUGUAUGGGAGCUGCAAGGAAUUAUGGGCCUGAUAGUGUCCGUCCAUUAGGGUGCAGGGUGCCUCUAAAAAACUACCAGACCCAUAAUCCCGUGUAGCUAUCACAGAUUAGCCCUGCUCACCCAUUUCCCCUGCCUUCUCCAUAGGUUGAAAAUCGCUGCCCGAUUCUAAAAUCACCAGCUGUUAGAAAUUGAAAACACCCAUCAGUACUUUCUUGGUUAAAGCCACAAAUUAAAAAAUGACUAAAACCUGCUUCAGUCAGGAGCAGGAUUUCUCCUAGUCACUUGAUAUCAAAAGCCAAACUGGCACAGUGUGCUGCUUGUAUACUACCCCAUAGUGUUUCAUGCACUCUUUGAGUUGUUUACAAUUUGUAAUUAUGCAGCCUACACAGCAAGCUGGGUACUCAGUUUGCCAGAAAGAUGGAAGACUGAGUGAACCUUGAGCCAGCUACCUGAGCCCGCUGGAAUCAAACUCAGGUCAUGAGCAGUCUUGAUUGCGGUACUACAGUUCCACCACUGCGCCAUGAAGCUCUUCUUACGGAUAAGCCAGUAUCACGCAUUACCCUUUGGAAUUUGUAGGUUUGCUUCUAAUAAAAGCCUGUUCUACUUUUGUUUAGUUCA
ensembl:lncRNA